rnacentral:misc_RNA from 1 species
GAAAUGCGAUAAUUAAUGUGAAUUGCAGAAUUCAGUGAAUCAUCGAGUCUUUGAACGCACAUUGCGCCCCCUGGUAUUCCGGGGGGCAUGCCUGUCCGAGCGUCAUUGCUGCCCUCAAGCACGGCUUGUGUGUUGGGCUUCCGUCCCUCGCAACGGGGACGGGCCCAAAAGGCAGUGGCGGCACCAUGUCUGGUCCUCGAGCGUAUGGGGCUUUGUCACCCGCUCCCGUAGGUCCAGCUGGCAGCUAGCCUCGCAACCAAUCUUUUUAACCAGGUUGACCUCGGAUCAGGUAGGGAUACCCGCUGAACUUAAGC